GACGAACGCUGUCGGCGUGCUUAACACAUGCAAGUCGAACGGAAAGGCCCUGCUUUUGUGGGGUGCUCGAGUGGCGAACGGGUGAGUAACACGUGAGUAACCUGCCCUUGACUUUGGGAUAACUUCAGGAAACUGGGGCUAAUACCGGAUAGGAGCUCCUGCUGCAUGGUGGGGGUUGGAAAGUUUCGGCGGUUGGGGAUGGACUCGCGGCUUAUCAGCUUGUUGGUGGGGUAGUGGCUUACCAAGGCUUUGACGGGUAGCCGGCCUGAGAGGGUGACCGGCCACAUUGGGACUGAGAUACGGCCCAGACUCCUACGGGAGGCAGCAGUGGGGAAUAUUGCACAAUGGGCGGAAGCCUGAUGCAGCAACGCCGCGUGCGGGAUGACGGCCUUCGGGUUGUAAACCGCUUUCGCCUGUGACGAAGCGUGAGUGACGGUAAUGGGUAAAGAAGCACCGGCUAACUACGUGCCAGCAGCCGCGGUGAUACGUAGGGUGCGAGCGUUGUCCGGAUUUAUUGGGCGUAAAGGGCUCGUAGGUGGUUGAUCGCGUCGGAAGUGUAAUCUUGGGGCUUAACCCUGAGCGUGCUUUCGAUACGGGUUGACUUGAGGAAGGUAGGGGAGAAUGGAAUUCCUGGUGGAGCGGUGGAAUGCGCAGAUAUCAGGAGGAACACCAGUGGCGAAGGCGGUUCUCUGGGCCUUUCCUGACGCUGAGGAGCGAAAGCGUGGGGAGCGAACAGGCUUAGAUACCCUGGUAGUCCACGCUGUAAACGGUGGGUACUAGGUGUGGGGUCCAUUCCACGGGUUCCGUGCCGUAGCUAACGCUUUAAGUACCCCGCCUGGGGAGUACGGCCGCAAGGCUAAAACUCAAAGGAAUUGACGGGGCCCCGCACAAGCGGCGGAGCAUGCGGAUUAAUUCGAUGCAACGCGUAGAACCUUACCUGGGUUUGACAUGGAUCGGGGGUGCUCAGAGAUGGGUGUGCCUCUUUUGGGGUCGGUUCACAGGUGGUGCAUGCCUGUCGUCAGCUCGUGUCGUGAGAUGUUGGGUUAAGUCCCGCAACGAGCGCAACCCUUGUUCACUGUUGCCAGCACGUUAUGGUGGGGACUCAGUGGAGACCGCCGGGGUCAACUCGGAGGAAGGUGGGGAUGACGUCAAGUCCUCAUGCCCCUUAUGUCCAGGGCUUCACGCAUGCUACAAUGGCUGGUACAGAGAGUGGCGAGCCUGUGAGGGUGAGCGAAUCUCGGAAAGCCGGUCUCAGUUCGGAUUGGGGUCUGCAACUCGACCUCAUGAAGUCGGAGUCGCUAGUAAUCGCAGAUCAGCAACGCUGCGGUGAAUACGUUCCCGGG
rnacentral:rRNA from 1 species